CCUACGGGAGGCAGCAGUGGGGAAUAUUGGGCAAUGGACGCAAGUCUGAACCAGCAACGCCGCGUGAAGGAAGAAGGCUUUCGGGUUGUAAACUUCUUUUAAGGGGGAAGCGCAGAAGACGGUACCCCUUGAAUAAGCCACGGCUAACUACGUGCCAGCAGCCGCGGUAAUACGGAGGUGGCAAGCGUUGCCCGGAUUUACUGGGUGGAAAGGGCGUGCAGCCGGGAAGACAAGUCAGAUGUGAAAUCCCGCGGCUUAACCCCGGAACUGCAUUUGAAACUGGUUGUCUUGAGUAUCGGAGAGGUAAUCGGAAUUCCUAGUGUAGCGGUGAAAUGCGUAGAUAUUAGGAAGAACACCAGUGGCGAAGGCGGAUUACUGGACCACAACUGACGGUGAGGCGCGAAAGCGUGGGGAGCAAACAGGAUUAGAUACCCUUGUAGUC
rnacentral:rRNA from 1 species